UGUGAUUGGUGUUCAGCAAAGGCCGGUUCUGCUAUCAUCGCCGGCCAUUGUUGAAAACAGUUCGCAGUCAGCGCUUAAGCGGCC
rnacentral:sRNA from 3 species